rnacentral:rRNA from 1 species
GAUGAACGCUGGCGGCGUGCCUAAUACAUGCAAGUCGAGCGAACGGACGAGAAGCUUGCUUCUCUGAUGUUAGCGGCGGACGGGUGAGUAACACGUGGAUAACCUACCUAUAAGACUGGGAUAACUUCGGGAAACCGGAGCUAAUCCCGGAUAAUAUUCUGAACCGUAUGGUUCAAAAGUGAAAGACGGUCUUGCUGUAACGUAUAGAUGGAUCUGGGCUGCAUUAGCUGGUUGGUAGGGUAACGGCUUACUAAGGCAAGUAUGCAUAGCCGACCUGAGGGGGGGAUAGGCCACACUGGAGGUGGACCGCGGUCCAUGCGACUACGAGAGGCACCAGUAGGGAACCGGCCGCAGUGGGGGGAAGCAUGACAGAGCGGCGCCGAGUCAGUUAUGACAGUCUUCGGUGCGUAAAGCUCUGUUAUGAGGGAUGAACAUAUGUGUAAGUAACUGUACACAUCUUGACGGUACCUAAUCAGAAAGCCACGGCUAACUACGUG